CAGUCGCCGCGGAAUACAGAGGGUGCGAGCGUUAAUCGGAAUUACUGGGCGUAAAGCGUGCGUAGGCGGUUUGUUAAGUCUGCUGUGAAAUCCCCGGGCUCAACCUGGGAAUGGCAGUGGAUACUGGCAAGCUAGAGUGUGUCAGAGGAUGGUGGAAUUCCCGGUGUAGCGGUGAAAUGCGUAGAGAUCGGGAGGAACAUCAGUGGCGAAGGCGGCCAUCUGGGACAACACUGACGCUGAGGCACGAAAGCGUGGGGAGCAAACAGGAUUAGAUACCCCAGUAGUCCCUGUCUCUUAUACA
rnacentral:rRNA from 1 species